AUGAACGCUAUCUACAGGCUUAACACAUGCAAGUCGAGGGGCAGCAUGGUCUUAGCUUGCUAAGGCCGAUGGCGACCGGCGCACGGGUGAGUAACACGUAUCCAACCUGCCGUCUACUCUUGGACAGCCUUCUGAAAGGAAGAUUAAUACAAGAUGGCAUCAUGAGUCCGCAUGUUCACAUGAUUAAAGGUAUUCCGGUAGACGAUGGGGAUGCGUUCCAUUAGAUAGUAGGCGGGGUAACGGCCCACCUAGUCUUCGAUGGAUAGGGGUUCUGAGAGGAAGGUCCCCCACAUUGGAACUGAGACACGGUCCAAACUCCUACGGGAGGCAGCAGUGAGGAAUAUUGGUCAAUGGGCGAGAACCUGAACCAGCCAAGUAGCGUGAAGGAUGACUGCCCUAUGGGUUGUAAACUUCUUUUAUAAAGGAAUAAAGUCGGGUAUGGAUACCCGUUUGCAUGUACUUUAUGAAUAAGGAUCGGCUAACUCCGUGCCAGCAGCCGCGGUAAUACGGAGGAUCCGAGCGUUAUCCGGAUUUAUUGGGUUUAAAGGGAGCGUAGAUGGAUGUUUAAGUCAGUUGUGAAAGUUUGCGGCUCAACCGUAAAAUUGCAGUUGAUACUGGAUAUCUUGAGUGCAGUUGAGGCAGGCGGAAUUCGUGGUGUAGCGGUGAAAUGCUUAGAUAUCACGAAGAACUCCGAUUGCGAAGGCAGCCUGCUAAGCUGCAACUGACAUUGAGGCUCGAAAGUGUGGGUAUCAAACAGGAUUAGAUACCCUGGUAGUCCACACGGUAAACGAUGAAUACUCGCUGUUUGCGAUAUACUGCAAGCGGCCAAGCGAAAGCGUUAAGUAUUCCACCUGGGGAGUACGCCGGCAACGGUGAAACUCAAAGGAAUUGACGGGGGCCCGCACAAGCGGAGGAACAUGUGGUUUAAUUCGAUGAUACGCGAGGAACCUUACCCGGGCUUAAAUUGCAGAUGAAUUACGGUGAAAGCCGUAAGCCGCAAGGCAUCUGUGAAGGUGCUGCAUGGUUGUCGUCAGCUCGUGCCGUGAGGUGUCGGCUUAAGUGCCAUAACGAGCGCAACCCUUGUUGUCAGUUACUAACAGGUUCCGCUGAGGACUCUGACAAGACUGCCAUCGUAAGAUGUGAGGAAGGUGGGGAUGACGUCAAAUCAGCACGGCCCUUACGUCCGGGGCUACACACGUGUUACAAUGGGGGGUACAGAGGGCCGCUACCACGCGAGUGGAUGCCAAUCCCCAAAACCUCUCUCAGUUCGGACUGGAGUCUGCAACCCGACUCCACGAAGCUGGAUUCGCUAGUAAUCGCGCAUCAGCCACGGCGCGGUGAAUACGUUCCCGGGCCUUGUACACACCGCCCGUCAAGCCAUGGGAGCCGGGGGUACCUGAAGUGCGUAACCGCGAGGAGCGCCCUAGGGUAAAACUGGUGACUGGGGCUA
rnacentral:rRNA from 1 species